UGCCCAGCAACUCCUAUCCCUACCUCCACGCGGUACCGGCCGGAAACUAUGAGCAACCUUAGGAAGAUCGGGUAACCAACCCCGGUGGGAACUUUGGUCGUAGGCUGACAGGGAAGA
rnacentral:ribozyme from 1 species